GCUUCUUUCAACGUCAGACACCUCCGUAGCUUGCUAGGCAAAAUAGCCGAACCAAUAAAGCUCUUGAGACGCUUUCGUGUUUAUUAGCCACCGUGUUUUAAACCCAUUUCUGUCGUCUAGCUAGUUAUCAGAUUUAUUUUCAUAUUUACGGUGUUGUUAAUUAGUCAGCUAGCGGGCUGGUUAAGUUAGCAUUAGCCUAACUAGUUAACAUCCCCGACCAUGCGGUCACUAAGCUACUCUUCUUCUGCUAAAGAAGAGGAAGUCUACUGGACGGAGAAAGAAACUCCCGUGAAAGAGGAGGAGGAAGAAUAGGAGGCUGUUACAGUAAAAAAAGAAGUAGAGGUUGAGGCUGUUACCAUGAAAGAAAAAGGGAAAGACGUUACAGUGAAAGAAGAGGAAGACGCGUUAAGAGUGAAAGAGGAGGAGGAUGUUACAGUAAAAGAAGAGGAAGAUGCGUUCAGAGUGAAAGAGGAGGAGGGGGAGAUGACUGUUACAUCGAAAAAGGAGGAGGAAACUGGAUAUCUGGGCCCGGUUUCCCAAAGCCAUCUUAAGGCAUCCAAUGGUUCUAACAAUGAAUUUAGCCAUAAGAUGGUUUUGAGAAACCGUUCCCUGAUUAACACUAGAGAGAGAUGUGACUAUCGUGGAUCCUCUGGGGAGCCUCAACAACAACAUGAUGCUGAAGAGGCAGAAACAUGUCUCUCCAGAUCAGAACUCCUCAAGAGACACCAGCAGAAAUCCACAUGGAGGAAAUAUUACCACUGCUGCUCUGACUGUGGUAAAAGAUUCAACUAUUCAGUAGAACUUAAAAUACAUCAAAGACAUUACACAAGAGAGAAACCAUAUGGCUGUGCUCAAUGUGGGAGAAGUUUUGUUUAUCCUUGCCAUCUGACUGAACACCAGAGAACACACACAGGAGUGAAACCAUUUAGCUGUGAUCAAUGUGGGAAGAGUUUUGCUGAAUCUAGCCAUCUGACUGAACACCAGAGAACACACACAGGAGAGAAACCAUAUAGCUGUAAUCAAUGUGGGAAGAGUUUUUCUACUUCUAGCUAUCUAACUACACACCAGAGAACACACACAGGAGAGAAACCUUAUAGCUGUGAUCAAUGUGGACUGUGUGACCAGAGUUUUACUCGGUCACACAGCCUGACUAUACACAAGCGGGGACACACAGGGUAAGAGAUACUCUGAUUAAACAUAAAAUACAUGAAGGAGUUGUUUCAUGAUAUCAAUGAAAUAAUGUCACAAAGUAGAAUGUUUUAACAUUGUAGUAGGAGUGUUUUAAUGAUGUCACAAUGUAGAAUGUUUUAACAUUGUAGUAGGAGUAUUCUAAUGAUGUCACAAUGUAGAACCCUAAUUGUCUGUCCCCUGUUCCAUUGAUUUCAACAUUAUAUGGAUAUUAGCCUCAGGGGGAAAAUCCAAGCUCUGAAUUGGAAGAGUACUAUUCAUGAGAUUCAACAAAAAGUGACUAACAAAAAAAGUGUUGUGUUACACUUACCACGUUGGUGACCCACUUGAAUCAAAAUGCAACUCUUCAAUGUUUAUGUUUUCAAUUUAUCCAAAACUGUUUCUACAUAUUGGUUAUUGAUUUGGACACGUUAAAACUGUGUUUUGACAUUGGGCUAUUCCCAUUUAGCAAAAUGUAAUUGAAAAGAUGUUGAAUGUCUGAUAUCCAAUAUAUGUUCGGUUGUAGUUGAAAAGAUGUCUUUUCUGGUCGUUUUUUCAAUGACUUGAAGACAACUUCAUUUCAACGUACUUGCAGCCUAUACACAUGGAUGCAGUAUAAUGAAUUGGUCUAUAAUCAAUUUUUAUUAACAAUCCUACAUCACUCCAGCAUUUCUUUGGAACAUUCAAAUCCUAAUUGUCUUUAUUCCACUACUGAAGAAGUAUGUCUCAAAUCACCUCAUAUUUCAAACAUUCAGCCUGACAAAAGAUACAUGUUUUAUUAUUCCAUGCCUCACCAUUCAGUUAUUAUUGCCAAUACAUAUUAACAAAGGGGUGUACAUUUGGUUUUGAUAUUUCAUAUUUACAAUUCAUGUAACAUUUAGUAAUAAUUAUUUAUGCAACCAAAUGACAAUUUUGGGUACAAUUAUAUUGACACUGUUGCUCUGCUUUUAUAAUAUCAGGGUUCAUUCUCAGAUGUGCCAACCCAAAUGUACUAGAGCAUGACCUUGGGGACUGAGCCCAGAUCCAACAACAUGCCUAUCGAGUGAACCCUGAAAAGAGAGAGAAGCUCCGCAGUGAGGUGGAAAGUUACUACGGAUAUUGCAGGAGUUUCCUCUUGAAAUCAGACAUGUCCUUGGUGAGAACAACAGGGGUUGCUGAUUGUCUCAAGGGUGGGCAGUCAAAAUGUUUUCGUUUAGUCAGUGAGUUGCCAUGGAUCACAAUUUAUUUUUGACUGCAUGUUUUUCCGUUUUGGAGAUGAGUUUUGUUUGGGCUCGUUCCGAGGGUACGAGAGUUCUAGAAGCUAGUGAGUUUUAGGAAGACGAGAGUUCGAGAAGCUAGUGAGUUUUAGGAUUCUAUAGAAUGGAAAAUGAGAAAAGAUACGAUUGAAAAUGAAUAUUUAGAAAUAUUUUUUCUUGUUUUAAUAGCCAGUAGUUUUUAAUAGCCAGUAGUUUUUAAUAGCCAGUAGACACUAUGUUUAUAUUGGUGAAGUGGAAGCAUUGUAGUUGAUUAUAAUGUCAAAUGGAAUGUAAAAUUGUUUUCUGUUGGUGGUGAGCAAACUUGUCCAACAAAAAUAUUGGAUAUAUUUGUUGUCUUAAGGUGUUGGUAUUUGACUUUCAAUUUUUGUUUUGAGGUUGGACUUUAGCACGUUUCGCUCGUCAGCACGUUUCGCUCGUCAGCACGUAGGACGCACUGAUUGCUGUCAACUCGUUAGUCGGUAUGUGUUACACCUGUGCUGGCUUGUCCAUCUCGUUAGUGGUAAGGUGUUUCACCUGAGCUGGUCCAGGUUCUAUUUAAGAGUGUCUGGCCCAGUGCUCCAGUUGUCUUGAUAGAUGUGGAGAGUCAACACCUUCAGUUGCUCCACCUUUUUGGUUAUUUUGCUUCCUGUUUAUAAGUUUGAGGUGGUGGGACGGGUGCGCCAUCGUCCGUGAGGAGAUGGCGCAAAGUACAUCUGGACCGUCGGUUCCGGGAAUUGGACUGGCCAACACGGUGCGCUUUUCUUGGCGGGGAAAAGAGAUGGAGCCUUGGGGGAGAGAAACCUUCGGGAGGAACAUCCUAAUGGGGCACCUAAAAUUGAAGGUUAAAGAUGUGCUAUGCCUUCAGGGGAACCCAAUGGAGAAGGGGUUUGAUGUAACCCUAUAUUUGGAAGAAAAACACAAUGAGAUUAUGAAGACGGUGACGGAAGGGAAAGAAGAAGGUCCCCUGUGUCAUUACACGGUGACCAGCCUGGCAAGAAACAACUUCAGGGUGGUCACCGUAACCAUGUACAAUCCGCACGUGAAGGACGAAGAAGUGAGGGCCUUUCUGGGGAGGUACAUGGACAAUGUCUCCUCAGCGAGGUACCUCAGGGACUCCCUGGGUUUCUGGAACGGGAGGAGAGGCUUCCAGGCGUUACUCAGGGAGUCCCCGA